UUUCUUCCCUUAUUUCGGUGCGAGUCUUCCUCUUCGUUUAUUUGUUGUUGCCAUGUGCAGCACCAAGCCAAUCCCUCUUUCGUCUUUCUUUGGUUUUGACUUGUUUUUUUUUCCUUUGUUUUUGGUUUGCUGCACAACACCAAGCUGCCAACAAAACGUGGCUAUCCUUUUUUUUCAUUUUGUUUGUUUGUUGUUGCUAUGUGCAACAACACCAAGCUGCCAAAACGUGGCUGUCUUCAACAACUUUUUUUUUUAGUUCAUCGUGUCUGUAUGCACAAAUGCUGUUUCGUUUCUCCAUUUUUUUUUUUUGCUGUAACAAACCUUCGUCGCCGUACAAAAUGCAAAGCCUCUCCUCCAAGCUUUUUGUUUGCUGACUUCCCAUUUCCAAAUGGGUCUGAAGCCAAUGGUUCUGUUUAACUCAGGAUUCCAUGGCUGUGCUCCUUCUUUUGUUUUGACAGAGAGGGAGAAAAUUGAUGAGAUUCUCCAAAGGCAGAGGUAGAAUCCAUUUUUAUUUGCUGUGAAAUUAAGCUUCCCCCAUGGUUUUGUUUGUGGGUUUUGUACCCAGAUUGGAUCGGUCACAGAGUGUUUGAUUGAGGGUUACACACCCAUGAUGGAUUUUGUAUCCAAGAUUUGUUUUGUGGGUUUGGAUGCUCAAGGCAUCUGUGAGAGAAAUCUCACGGUCCUGCUGCAUUUAAGAACAACGAACGAAGAACUUCGUGUUUGUUACUCUCGGUAGAAAUCUAUCAGCAAAUUCAUUUGCUCUUGUAUGCUCUCCUCCCCUUCCCAGCGGCUGUUCUUCCCCUGCCUUUGUGGCCUUCCAGUCUCUUUUUCAGCCUCCUGUUUUUGUGGCCUUGCACCACCGUUUUUUUAUCCUUGUGCAGCCUGCCGGCUGCCCCCCUUUGUUCCUAGGCGUCAUGCCUCUUAUAGAGGCUAUAUUAUGACGAGUUUGAAUUCAAGCUGAUGACCACUUCUCAACCGAGAUACUUAUCUCUUGGUGUUUCAAAACCACUGAAAUACAUCUAUUUUAUUUUUAUAUGUUUUUCCUGAUAAGAUUGUAGGGACAAAAAAAAUUCAAUUCUAACCCAAGUCAAAUUCUUGGUUAAUUGCUUUUGUGAAAAUUUUCCGUUCAACAGAUGCCUUCUCAAGCGUUGUGCAUGAAAUGACUUUUUAUGUGCAACGCUUGAUAGCUUUCCCUUUGAACUGCGCAUCCCCUGACUUUUCUUGUAUUAAUUAUUAUUAUUAUUAUUAUUAUUAUUUUUGUUGCUCUAACUUUUGCUUGGACCGCCCUUUUGGGUUUUUAGUCCAACGAGCUUUUUUUCUCACCAUCAGGCAUAAAACUUCUUGACGAAUUUUCCAUUCACACAAGGGUAUACGCACUUGCCUUCGGCGUUUGACAACUCAUAGGCACCCCUGGAGAAAACCUUAGUAAUGACGUAGGGCCCCUCCCACUUGGGUUCAAACUUACCGUGCAUUUUCCUGGUAAUGACAAAUGGUCUUCGGACAGUUAAAACCAAAUCUCCAAUUGAGAAAGAUCUGAACUUAACUUUUCUAUUGAAUGCCCCUGCAACCUGGGCUUGAUAUAUUUCGAGCUUUUGUUGAGCUGCCAGUCUUUUCUCAUCGAGGGCUUCCAGCUCUGCCAGUCUCACAUAUGCGUUUUCGUCGGGGUUUGUCAGCUAUAGAGCUACCCUUAACGAUGGCAAUUGGACUUCUAACGGUAGAACAGCCUCAGAGCCAAACACCAAAUUGUAGGGUGUACAUCCUGUUGAAUUGCAUAUGGUCGUCCUAUAAGCCCAUAAUGCUUCAGGGAGGCGCUCAUGCCAGUCUCUUUUAUUUCCUGAGACCGUCUUCUUUAGGAUGUUGCACAGUACCUUAUUGAAAGCUUCAGCUUGACCGUUUGACGACGGAUUGUAACUCGCGAAAAACGAGUGUUGAAAUCUAUACUUCUCGCACAACUUGGUCAUGGACUUGCACUUGAAAUAUAAUGCAUUGUCGGAUAUUAUCUUCGAUGGAACCCCAUAACGGUAGAUGAUAUGAUUCCUUAUGAAGUUUGUAACAUCGUCUGCUCGUACCUCCUUUAAAGGAAUCGCUUCAGCCCAUUUAGAGAAGUAAUUGGUCGCGGCCAAGAUGUAUUGAUGUUGACGUGAUGACUUAGGCUUUAUCAUGCCAAUAACAUCUAAUCCCCAAGCUUCAAAUGGCCAAGACAAAGUAGUCGGAUGUAAUUGUUGGGGUGGCUGGUGAAUAAAGUCUCCAUGUAACUGGCAAUCUUUGCAUGUGGUUGCAAAUUUCAUUAAGUCUUGGACCAUUGUUGGCCAGUAAUAACCUAAUCUCUUCAGUUGGUUUGGGAGUUUUGGACCAGCUUGAUGAGCACCGCGAGUGCCAGCAUGAGUAUCAUGGAGGGCCCUAGUUGAGUCUUGUUUUGACAGACACCUUAACAACAUACCAUCAAAUGAUCUUUUGUACAAGGUGUCAUUUAGGUACAGAAAUCGAGUGACUCUGCGUCGGACUUCAGCCUUUUUCCUUGAGUCAUUUGGCAACUUGCCUUGUCGGAGAUACUCGAUUAUGGGAUGGCGCCAAUCAAGAUCAUCUGGUUCCCCCUCACAUUCGGAAGCCGUAAUGACGUUUGAAUCAACAACUUCUUCAAUUCUCUCUAUAGCUGGGAGUAGUAAGUAACGUUCCCCAACAGUGAUUUGGAUAUCCCUUUCGUCAGGUAGUGUUAACGAUGCAGCCAAAUUAGCUAGUGCAUCAGCUUUAUCAUUUUCCGACCUCGGGAUGUGGCUAACAUGGAUGUCUUGAAACUGUGACAUGAGAUACUUUGCCCUUUCAUGGUAUGGGACGAGAGUAGUAUUUCUGACUGCGUAUUGGCCAUUCAACUGUCUAACGACUAACUGUGAAUCACCGUAUGCUUGCAAAUAAUCAAUAUGCAUCUCGAGAGCAAUUUCAAGGCCAAUGAUGAGUGCCUCGUAUUCUGCCACAUUAUUGGAACAUAAAGCUAGUAAAGAGAAUGAGUAUGGGAUUAAGCCCCUAGACGGCGUGAUGAAUACUACUCCUGCCCCAGCUCCUUUUCCUCUUGCUGCCCCAUCAAAAUAUAACUGCCAUAUAAGUGCUUCUGUCGUGAACACCUCUUCGUCAGGCAAAUCAUUAGAUAACUCCAUGUUGUCGGGAGUAGGAUGAGCAGCCAAGAAAUCAGCAAGAGCCUGCCCUUUGAUUGCCCUUUGUGGCACAAACUUUAUUUCGAACUCGGAGAGAAGGAGAGACCACUUGGCUAUUCGCCCAGAAAGCACAGGCUUGGACAUUAAAUAUCGGAGUGGAUCUGCCUUGGAAAUCAAAAUGACUCUAUGAGAGAGAAUGCAAUGUCGUAGUUUCUGUACAGCGAACACCAAAGCGAGGAAGACCUUUUCGAUCGGGGUGUAAUUUUGUUCUGCCCCUACGAGAGUUCUACUUAAGUAAUAUAAUGCAUUUUCCUUUCCAUCCUCGUUGUGUUGGGCGAGCAAUGCACCUAAUGAGCGUUCUAAUGCCGCAAUGUAUAGGAUUAGAGGUUUCCCUUUGAUUGGCGCCAUUAGAACUGGCGGAUUUAACAGGUAUCGUUUAAUGCUUUCCAAAGCAUUUUGGCAUGCUUGAUCCCAUAUCAACGGAACAUCCUUCUUCAUUAGCUUUGAGAAUGGUUGACACCUUCCAGAGAGAUUUGAGAUGAAUCGUCGUAUGUAAGCUAGUCUUCCUUGCAGCCCUUGCAGCUCCCUUAAAUUUCGAGGGGGAGGGAUUUCACGGAUUGCCUUGAUUUUUGAAGGAUCAAUUUCAAUUCCACGAUGUCGGACGAUAAAGCCAAGGAAGCUACCAGAAGUUACCCCAAAUGCACACUUUAAGGGGUUCAUUUUCAACUGGUGCUUUCGAAGUCUAUCAAAAACUCGUUUUAAGUCCCUCAAAUGAUGUUCUCUUUUUCUGGUUUUGACAACCAAAUCAUCAACGUAGCAUUCAAUGGUAUUGUGAAGCAUGUCAUUGAAAAUUACCGUCAUGGCUCUUUGGUAAGUCGCCCCUGCAUUUUUCAACCCAAAAGGCAUCACAGUGUAGCAAUAUAUUCCUUUUGGAGUGCGGAAGGCAGUUUUCUCUUGAUCCUCUGGAGCCAUUUUUAUUUGGUUGUAACCCAAGAAUCCAUCCAUAAAUGAUAGAGCACCGAAACCGGUUGUUGCGUCUACCAAUAAUUCUGUAAUUGGGAGUGGAAACUCAUCUUUUGGGCAUGCAUCAUUGACGUCUCUAUAGUCCACACAUAUACGUAGUGCCCCAGUUUUUUUGAGGACCGGGACGAUAUUGGACAACCAGGUGGGAUAUUGGACCUCUCUGAUAAAACCCGCGGCAAUAAGCUUGUCAAUCUCGAUUUCUAUUUGGAUUGUUAGCUCUGGCCGAAAACGGCGUGGCGCUUGCUUCACCCAUCGAGCCUCAUCAGGUAUCCCAAGUUUGUGAACUGCAACGUUUGGGUCUAAACCUGGCAUGUCUUGAUAACCCCAUGCAAAUACAUCUCGGUACUGUUGCAACAGUUGUGUGUAUUCUUCUAACUCUUGCGGUGUUAACAAAGCACUGACAAAGAUAGGCUUUAGGUUGUCAACUGUACCGAGAUUAAUUUCUUGCAGAUCAUCAAUUGUGGCUUGACCUCCCUCCUCCAUUUGUGGUGGAGCUGGUUGGACUAUGUCGAUGAAUUCCUCAAUAUCUUGAGGACUAUCAUCUUGGUCCACUGUUUCUUCGCAAGAGGUGCAAUUGACCUGGACAAGGUCAUCCUUUAUUUUCACCCUUUUGAUCGUUUCGAUCACCGCUUUCUCUUGACUCUUAACUUUCCAUUUCCUUUUAUUAUGGACCUUCCCUUGUUGAGAACUGGAAGGGUUCUCCAGGUGUUGAAAGACUGAGAUGCGGGGUGGUUGUCUGCCCCCUAGGCGUUUGAACACGGAGAUGCGAAUCGGCUUUAUAUUCACCUCAUCUUCUCUAAACAUAGCUUGUUCCAUAUUAGUGAGUAUCUCAGGCUCGGCGGCUUCUAGAUGUGGCCUUCGAAGAGACACUUUGAGUCCACCACUCUCAUUUUGAACUGUGAGGCCAGCAUUGCUUUUCUUUGCUUUUCGGCCUUUAAGUUCUAUCUUUAAUGGAGCAGAUGUUGUUUCUGACAAUGAUGCCUUUUUGUGAAAAACUACACGUUUACUUGGGCCAUCGUUUUUGCCAAAAGUAGUCGAAAUGACCAAACUGCCCCCUGGGAUAGACUGAUUAAUCUUACGAAGAGGACGAGUGUAACUUGCUGUCAUUAGUGACUCCAUUGUUUGUUUCAAUGAGCUUGUUUCCUUUUCACCAGGCUCCUUUUUUGAAGUCUUGACAAUUAUCUUUGGCUUGGGAGCCUUUGCAGUCGGGACUUCUCCCACUUUUGAGGAUGACGCACCACGAGGUUUUAGCUUCACUUGGAUUACUUUUGAAGGUUUGGAUACUUCAUUAUUUUGGGCUUUUCCUGUUUCAACAGUCGCUCUUUUCUCCUUAUCAACCUUUGAUGGCUGUGUAAAUGAGAGACCAAGUGGGCUGUAAAACUUCGCAUCAGAGUAAUUUACCUCUUCACCUUUGAACGGGUCCAUGUCAGCUGAAACACUCUUGACUUCCCCAUCCACCAAGUAUUUAAAGCACUGGUGAAGUGUAGAAGGGACUACGCCAUAUGUAUGGAGCCAUGGACGUCCUAACAGGACGUUGUAUGAAGUAUCAGCCUCGAUCACAUGGAAUAGGGCGUCUGAAUAUAAGUCUCCUAUUUCCAUUUGCAAUGCGAUAGAGCCCAUGACCUUUUGCCCAAGUUGAUUGAACCCUUGAAUAGUCAGCAUAGAGGGAGACAACUGUCGGGCACUCAUCCCUAUAGCAUGGAGCGUCUUUAAUGGGAUAAUAUUCACGGCCGAACCACAAUCUAACAAGAUUCGAUUAAUGGUUGUGCCUCCAACUUCGCCAGUGACAUACAGAGGUCGAUUAUGGAAUUUGGACCCAAGUAAAAAGUCAUCUUCACCAAAGGUAAUUGCUGCCAGACAUGAUGCACAAAACUUCGAGGUUUCAGUUGUGUGGACCUCUGCUGAUUUGAAACAUGACUUAUACAAAUCUGGGUUCAUUAAAGCCAUUACAAGUGCCUCCCUAAGUUCCCUCGACAUUUGUAAAGCGUCAUAGACACUUAGAGGAGCGGGAAUGCGCUUAAGAUGAGCUAGAAUAUCGUACUUAACUAUAUGUGAUUGUGAUGGCUCCUUUGCUUUACUAGUAUCGGGCUUAGAAUCCUUUGCUUUUGGAGAGGAAGGUGGAACUUCCCCUGCAACAGUUUUUUCUGACAAGAAGACCUUAAUCUCUUUUGCCUUUGGCUUCUUCUCGGUUUUAGAGGGAUCAGCUUCCUCAUUUUGUUGUGCUUUAUCAGCAGAUGGGAUGCUUCGACCGGAGCGGAGAUUAAUCUCAUCAACUUCUAUGUCGACCUCAUAUUCCUCCAAAGAAACCAUGUUGCAUUGAAUGACUUCUUCCUCAACUUCAGAUUCACUCGAGAAAAACUCAACUGGCAAAAACUCAGUGAGUGUGACAGGGACCCUUGCGGGUUGCUCAUAUUCAUCUUCUUGGGUGAUUUGAACUUUCUUUUGCACUCUCUUCUUCCUCCUCUUACUUUUCAAGGGUGGCAUGCCUCGAAUCUUGACAGCCGGACGAGUCGUAAAUCUAUGAUUGGGUGGGAGAUAUUUAGCCAUGUGCUUGGCCCUUUUAACAAAUGUCGUCCACCCCUCAGCAAAUUCGUCGGUUGAAGAAUCUUCCCAUAUUUCUAGACUGGGUGCAGCCAUGAGCUCAUGAAGAGUAGGGAUUUGAAGAUCAUUAGACCAUGGUGCCUUCGGACAAGCAUGUACGAUUGUACCUCGAUUGUCGGUAUUAAUACCUGCAAUUUUCGCUCCAUCUAGUAAUGCAGUGAUGGGUGUGAGCUUUUCUUCUAUCAUAUUUGCCGUAGCUGAAUGAUGUCGGGAAGAGGAGUCUAUCUCCAAGCCGCCCUUGUUGAGGAGCUCUUGGAUUUUGUCCUUCAGGAUAUAACAAUCCUUGAGCGUAUGACUGACAAGGCGAUGAUAUCGACAAUACCUAGGGUCAUUUGUCCUGUUGGCCUCAGCAGGACGUUUUGAUUCUGGGAGAGCAAUAGCAUUGGAGGCCAGAAGUUGGUCAAAGAUUUCUUCUACAUCAUCAUCAUCAAAAGAAUAUUUGACCUCUUUGCGUUCUUUAAGAGUGAGCCUUUUAGGUGGGUCCUUGUUUUGGCCUUUGUCAUUUUUCUUUUCAGUUUUGACGAAAGUGGCCAACGACUCUCCUUUUAUGGACUUCUUGUCAUUUUUCUUUUCCCCAAAUUGAAUUUUUUGGGACGCGGACUUUUGGCGAGCAAUUUGUCUUUCAACAUUGCUCGCCUUUGACACCAAAGCGUCAAAUGAUUGGGGUUCAGCAGUGGCGACAAAAGUCGCAAUGUCUGGCAUGAGGUUAUUGUAGCACAUUUGCACUGCUGAUUGCUCAGUAAUUUUCUCCGGGCAUUGAAGAUUGAGACUCCUCCAUCUCAUUAUAAAGUCAUUAGCACUUUCCCCUGGCUUUUGGGUAGUUUGAGCUAGGUCCAUGAUCGAGACCUUCUUUUUAGAACUGACAAAUUGUGCCAAAAAUGCUUUUUGCAUGUCGUCCCACGUCAAGAUAGAGCCUGGCGGUAGCUGUGUAUACCAAGUGAAAGCUGAUCCUUUUAGGGAUUGGACAAAUUGACGCACCAGGAGAGCGUCUGACUGAGAUGUCUCGCCACAUGCUGAGUAAAAAUGUGCCAGAUGUUCAUGGGGUGAGCUAUUUAUGCCAUCAAAUUUAUCAAAUAUGGGCCGUUGAUAACCCUUCGGGAAUGGUAUGGCGUCAUAGUGAGAAGGGAAGGGUUUUCGAUACCCUUGAACAGGAGGUGCUAUGGACAAUUGGAACUCACGAAUCCCCUCAGCAAUUAAUGCCUUUAUGUCGUUUGAGGAAAUUGUGCUUGUAGAGCUCUCUGCUUUUUCCUCUUUUGUUUGUUGUUCAUGGGUCAUCGAUUCAUUUGUUUUGCCCCUGUCUUGCUCUCCUAUGACGGCUUUCCCUUUUAACUUAGCUGAUAGUAACGCUAUUUCUGCGUCUUUCUCUGCUAACUUCUGCUGCAUUUCCCUUCGCAAGUCUUGCAUCAUCUCUUGGAUUAAGGGCAACUGGUCCUCAGUAUUAGAAGUACCAGUCAUCAUGACUUGCAUGCUUUCCACCCCGUCAUGAAGUUUGGCCCCUUGGGAUACUACACAAUCAUUCUCUUGAUUUUGAGAUACGGGAUCAUCAUAAAGAGGAUUCCAUUGCAAAUAAUCGUCCCAACGGGUUGAGUUUGGAGCGGAUAACUCGGGAAUAGUCAUCCCCAUCAUGUCUCGGGAUUUGGAACGAGUCAAUGGACCCAUGUAGGACCUUGACAGCUCUUGAGAUUUCGGGACUGCCCCUCGUGAUACGGGAUUUUGAUCCCUUGAAGCAUCAGUUGUCGUCACCUUUUGCACAUGCCUUCUUUGUGGAUGAGGUAUGUUCACCACCUUCUUCUCCAUGAUGAUGGCUUUGUUUUUACCCUUAGAGGAGCACGGGUAAACCUCUUGUGAUGCGGAUUCCACAGCAUGGGUUUUUGGACUUGACGGAGGUUCGGCCCCUUGGACCUCAGCGUUCUCCACAGAGUCGUCCUUUUGACCUUCCUCACUAGUUUCAUUGGUGAAAGUCAUCAGAACAGAAUCUGUAGGAUAUAGGUCGACCGGGAUUGAUCCAAUCAUGAUUUGGACCAAUUGGGUAGCAUUUGUCCUCUUGGAAGUCGGCACAGCCAGGAUGCUCGAGGUGUUCUUGCCUUGAGUCACAAAUGGGCUUGUCCCCGAAAGCUCGGCCAAAACUGCCUCAAUAGACUCCCUCUUUGCUUCUUUCUUUCUUAAAGCACGCGCAGCCCUCUUUCUUGCAUUUCGGAGAGCGCUCUUGGAAGGUGCUUUCUUCAAUUGGGUCUUGACAACCUUAAGAGUGACCUGAGGCUUGACCCUCUGAAUGGGCUUUGGAACGGCGCACUUGAUGAGGCUCUCACCAACAAUGAAAGUCUUUUUGAACCCCACUCGUUUGGUGCACGCAUUCCAGGUAGCUUCGAUCUUGUGGAAGAAAAUUGUAACUUGUGGUGCCAUCGAAUAUGGUUUUGUUAACCUGUGGCAUACACAAAAAUAAAAACAUUUAGUCACUUUAUGAUUGGAGAUGAAAAGGUAAAUGGAUCCCACCGGGCGUGCCAAAAAUUAUGUUGGAGGAAAAUGUGAUCCUCCUAAUAUAAUUUCACCACCACUAAUUAAAUAACGGGGUUUUAUUAUUUUAGGUUCGACCCAUUCGAGACGCAAGUCUCUUAAUUACAAUCCCUUGCUUCAAGGGAACACCCUUUGAUUCCAUCAUAAAGAAACAGAACGUGUGUGUUUGAUUUUGCAACUGCUCCCAAGUCCAACCUCAGGAUGCCUACGUAUCCCUUGCUGGAAUCAAGCCACUCGUAGUUCAAAGAAUCGCAAUGAAUAAAUGACUCAUUGCGAGGGAAAUUUGAUUUGAAUUGUAUUGAGAAGUGUUUGAGUGAUUUUAGCUGCAUAAACCAGGGAUUCGAUAUGGGAUUGCAUUUGGGAUGGUUGCAUCUAGAUUGAAUCUCCAGACUGCCUACGUACCCUUUCAAAAGGAUCAAACCAACGUAGUUCGGAAUUUGGAAAUUAACGGGUAAGUGUGGCCCACUAAUUGAGAAUUUCUGUCUGAGAGACUUGGAUUUAAUCUCAUUAGAGUUUUCAUGGGUAGAUGACCCAUGGAAAAUUGGAUGGUUUUGUACCACUUUCGUUGUUGUCAAUGUCCAAGAAAAAUAAUGAGUAAUUUUAAUUAUCCCAUUAAUUUUUCCUAAACAUUGACAAUUGCGUUUGGGGGUUUUCAUAGGUAGAUGACCUAUGAGAAAAAUUGGAAAUUAAUGGAUAAGUGUGGCCCACUAAUUAAGAAUUUGUAUUUGAGAGAUUUAGAAUUAAUCUCAAUGAAAUUUGCAUGGGUAGAUGACCCAUGGGAAAUAUUGGAAAUUAAUGGGUAAGUGUAGCCCACUAAUUGAGAACUUGAAUUUGAGAGAUUUGAAUUUAAUCUCAUUGAAAUUUGCAUGGGUAGAUGACCCAUGAAAAAUUGAAUGGUUUUGUACCACUUUUCUGGUUGUGAAUGUCCAAGAAAAAUAAUGAGUAAUUUUGAUUAUCCCAUUAAUUUUCCCAAAAAAAAUUGACAAUUGCACUUGGGAAAGUGUUUUGGCGAAAUCUGGUUAAGAUGAACCAGAGAUUUAUACUUGAUUGCGGUUGCGUCUAUUGGGAUGUUAGACUGCCUACGUACCCUUGACGGGAUCAAACCGACGUAGUUCCAAAUUUGGAAAUUAACGGGUAAGUGUGGCCCACUAAUUGAGAAUUUGUGUCUUUGGGACAAUUUGGAGAUUUUCAUAGGUAGAUGACCUAUGGGAAAAAUUGGAAAUUAACGGGUAAGUGUAGCCCACUAAUUAAGAAUUUGUGUUUGAGAUAUUUGAAUUUAAUCUCAUUUGGAAUUUGCAUGGGUAGAUGACCCAUGAAAAAUUGGAUGGUUUUGUACCACUUUCGUUGUUGUCCAUGUCCAAGAAAAAUAAUGAGUAAUUUUAAUUAUCCCAUUAAUUCUCUACGAUUGACAUUUGCAUUUGUAUCCAUGCAUGAUUUGGAGGAUUUGAGAUUAAUGGGCUUUUUUGAUCAACAAGACCCAUUAAUCCAUAUUGAUGCUCCUUUAAAAUCUUUUGGGAGUUGAGCUUAAUGCUCCGCGCAUGACCAAUAAUUUAUUUGGACUGGAGUCACUGUCACAGCAUGGUUGAGUCACUUGGCACUCUUUUCUGAAUAGCUUCUUUGCCACAAUGGUUGAUUCCCACAUUUCUUAGUGUGGCUUUUGAAGUGGUUUUGUACCCCUUGACAUCUGGUGUGGUUUUGUACUACUUGAGUCUUCACUUGACGUUGAGUCUUCACUUGACGAUUUGAGAAUUAAUGGGCAUUUUUGGAAUUUAAGCCCAUAAUCCAUCAUUUACGGACUUAGGAAUUGGAGACUCAAAGGAAAUCUCAAACAAAGUGGCUGACGCCAUUUGACUUUUCUUCCCUUAUUUCGGUGCGAGUCUUCCUCUUCGUUUAUUUGUUGUUGCCAUGUGCAGCACCAAGCCAAUCCCUCUUUCGUCUUUCUUUGGUUUUGACUUGUUUUUUUUUCCUUUGUUUUUGGUUUGCUGCACAACACCAAGCUGCCAACAAAACGUGGCUAUCCUUUUUUUUCAUUUUGUUUGUUUGUUGUUGCUAUGUGCAACAACACCAAGCUGCCAAAACGUGGCUGUCUUCAACAACUUUUUUUUUUUAGUUCAUCGUGUCUGUAUGCACAAAUGCUGUUUCGUUUCUCCUUUUUUUUUUUUGCUGUAACAAACCUUCGUCGCCGUACAAAAUGUAAAGCCUCUCCUCCAAGCUUUUUGUUUGCUGACUUCCCAUUUCCAAAUGGGUCUGAAGCCAAUGGUUCUGUUUAACUCAGGAUUCCAUGGCUGUGCUCCUUCUUUUGUUUUGACAGAGAGGGAGAAAAUUGAUGAGAUUCUCCAAAGGCAGAGGUAGAAUCCAUUUUUAUUUGCUGUGAAAUUAAGUUUCCCCCAUGGUUUUGUUUGUGGGUUUUGUACCCAGAUUGGAUCGGUCACAGAGUGUUUGAUUGAGGGUUACACACCCAUGAUUGAUUUUGUAUCCAAGAUUUGUUUUGUGGGUUUGGAUGCUCAAGGCAUCUGUGAGAGAAAUCUCACGGUCCUGCUGCAUUUAAGAACAACGAACGAAGAACUUCGUGUUUGUUACUCUCGGUAGAAAUCUAUCAGCAAAUUCAUUUGCUCUUGUAUGCUCUCCUCCCCUUCCCAGCGGCUGUUCUUCCCCUGCCUUUGUGGCCUUCCAGUCUCUUUUUCAGCCUCCUGUUUUUGUGGCCUUGCACCACCGUUUUUUUAUCCUUGUGCAGCCUGCCGGCUGCCCCCCUUUGUUCCUAGGCGUCAUGCCUCUUAUAGAGGCUAUAUUAUGACGAGUUUGAAUUCAAGCUGAUGACCACUUCUCAACCGAGAUACUUAUCUCUUGGUGUUUCAAAACCACUGAAAUACAUCUAUUUUAUUUUUAUAUGUUUUUCCUGAUAAGAUUGCAGGAACAAAACAAAUUCAA
rnacentral:lncRNA from 1 species